rnacentral:rRNA from 1 species
UACCAGCCCCCUGAGUGGUAAGGACGAUUAUUUGGCCUAAAGCGUCCGUAGCCGGCUUAGCAAGUCUUUUGUUAAAUCCAACGAUUCAAUCGUUGGGCCGCAAAAGAUACUGUUAUGCUAGAGGACGGGAGAGGUCGACGGUAGUCCAGGGGUAGGGGUGAAAUCCUAUAAUCCUUGGAGGACCACCAGUGGCGAAGGCGGUCGACUAGAACGUGCCUGACGGUGAGGGACGAAAGCUGGGGGGGCGAACCGGAUUAGAUACCCGGGUAGUCCCAGCUGUAAACGAUGCGGGCUAGGUGUUGGGGUAGCCACGAGCUGCCCCAGUGCCGCAGAGAAGUUGUUAAGCCCGCCGCCUGGGGAGUACGGCCGCAAGGCUGAAACUUAAAGGAAUUGGCGGGGGAGCACCACAAGGGGUGAAGGCUGCGGUUUAAUUGGAGUCAACGCCGGGAACCUUACCGGGGCUGACAGCAGGGUGAAGGCCAGACUGAAGAUCUUGCCAGACAAGCUGAGAGGAGGUGCAUGGCCGUCGCCAGUUCGUGCCGUGAGGUGUCCUGUUAAGUCAGGCAACGAACGAGACCCCUGCUGCUAGUUGCCAGCGGAUUCCAACGGAAUGCCGGGCACACUAGCAGGACUGCCACCGAGAAGGUGGAGGAAGGGGGGGGCAACGGCAGGUCAGUAUGCCCCGAAUGCCUCGGGCCACACGCGGCCUGCAAUGGUAGGGACAAUGGGAUCCGACCUUGAAAAGGGAAGGCAAUCCCCAAACCCUAUCUCAGUCGGGAUUGAGGGCUGGAACUCGCCCUCAUGAACAUGGAAUCCCUAGUAACCGCGUGUCAUCAUCGCGCGGUGAAUACGUCCCCGCUCCU